AACGAACGCUGGCGGCAGGCUUAACACAUGCAAGUCGAACGCCCCGCAAGGGGAGUGGCAGACGGGUGAGUAACGCGUGGGAACAUACCCUUGCCUGCGGAAUAGCUCUGGGAAACUGGAAUUAAUACCGCAUACGCCCUACGGGGGAAAGUUUUAUCGGGGAAGGAAUGGCCCGGGUUGGAUGAGCUAGUUGGUGGGGUAAAGGCCUACCAAGGCGACGAUCCAUAGCUGGUCGGAGAGGAGGAUCAGCCACAUUGGGACUGAGACCAGGCCCAAACUCCUACGGGAGGCAGCAGUGGGGAAUAUUGGACAAUGGGCGCAAUCCUGAUACAGCCAUGCCGCGUGAGUGAUGAAGGCCUUAGGGUUGUAAAGCUCUUUCACCGAUGAAGAUAAUGACGGUAGUCGGAGAAGAAGCCCCGGCUAACUUCGUGCCAGCAGCCGCAGUAACAC
rnacentral:rRNA from 1 species